rnacentral:rRNA from 1 species
AAAAAAGUUUGAAUUUUGCUUCAGGACGAACGCUGGGCGGCGUGCCUAAAUACCUUCAAAGUCGAGCGGACCGGAGGGGAGUUUGCUCCCUUUGGGUACAGCGGCGGGACGGGUUGAGUAAACACGUGGGUACCCUGCCUGUAAAGACUGGGAAUAAUUCCGGGGAAACCGGGGGCUAAUACCCGGAUGCUUGAUUGAACCCCCAUGGUUCAAUCAUAAAAGGGUGGCUUUUCAGCUACCACUUACAGAUGGACCCGCGGCGCAUUAGCUAGUUGGUGAGGUAACGGCUCACCAAGGCGACGAUGCGUAGCCGACCUGAGAGGGUGAUCGGCCACACUGGGACUGAGACACGGCCCAGACUCCUACGGGAGGCAGCAGUAGGGAAUCUUCCGCAAUGGACGAAAGUCUGACGGAGCAACGCCGCGUGAGUGAUGAAGGUUUUCGGAUCGUAAAACUCUGUUGUUAGGGAAGAACAAGUACCGUUCGAAUAGGGCGGUACCUUGACGGUACCUAACCAGAAAGCCACGGCUAACUACGUGCCAGCAGCCGCGGUAAUACGUAGGUGGCAAGCGUUGUCCGGAAUUAUUGGGCGUAAAGCGCGCGCAGGCGGUUUCUUAAGUCUGAUGUGAAAGCCCCCGGCUCAACCGGGGAGGGUCAUUGGAAACUGGGGAACUUGAGUGCAGAAGAGGAGAGUGGAAUUCCACGUGUAGCGGUGAAAUUUUUAGGGAUGUGGAGGAACACCAGUGGCGAAGGCGACUCUCUGGUCUGUAACUGACGCUGAGCCCCUUAAAGCCCUCC